rfam:Oryza glumipatula chromosome 12, whole genome shotgun sequence.
AUCCCAUGAUGAGGACAAGUGGCCACGUACUCUUGCAGACGCUCCCAUGCUUCAGGAAUAGACUCAUCUCUUGUCUGCUAGAAACUUGAAAUCCUUCCACGAAGGGC